rnacentral:misc_RNA from 1 species
GUCCUAAGACUUUGUUUUAUUAACAAAUUAGUUUUUUUUAUUUAAAUUUUAUAUUUAAAUAGUUAAUAAGUUUUAUAUCAAAAUAUAUUUUGUGAUUGUGUAAUAAAGUGAGAGGGAGAGGUGAAGAAAGGAUGUAAGGGUAAUUUGUGUAUUUAAAUUUUAUUUUUAAGUAAUUUUUGGUAUUGGAUAAUGGUAAAUUGGAAGAUAUUUGGAUAAAAAGCUAUUCUAUGUAGCAGGCAAAGACACUGAGCUUGGUUUUCAUAUUCAAGUGGAGCCGUUACUGAAUGCAUGUAGCAGGAAGCUGGAGGGCGACUGAAUACGAUUGUUUUUGGCUCUAAUUUUGUUCACCUUUUGUUCCAACAGACCUUGCAUUCACUGCCCAAUAUAAGGUUUCUCGUAGUUGCAUAUUUGCACUCUCUUGAUGUCAUAUUUGGCUAACAUAUGUUAAUUCACUCAUUUACUAAUUAAUAACUGUCUUUCUUCCUCUAGUUAUUUUGGUGUGUCUACUCUCUCAGCAAUGCUUAGAAGAACCUAUUAUUCACAACAAGUGCAAGAAAUCAUAGAAUUAGACGUGUUAGUUCUUGAGCAUUAACUACAUAAAUUUGCUAAGCGGAGGAAAUCAUAGAGUUGAAAGAUUGACAUUGGUAACAAUAUUUUCAACUAAGAAGAUGCAUUUGUAAGGUUUGCAACUGAAGAAGGGGUCAGUCCAGAGGUAAACCGCAAUAUUGGAUGUAUACAUUUGUUAAGAAAGUGAGAUCAUUUGAGUCCAUGGAACAAAACUUCUUGUGUAGAAC